UUCUUGCCUUCAUAUAGCAAGUUUGUUUCCAGGCUUCUGGUUAGUGAAAGAGAGAUCUGGAGGACACAAGAAAAAUCACGAGGAAGCAAGUCAGUGGGUGUACCCUACUCUGAAGGGGAGAGAAUCAUUGGGCACCAUCUUAGAAGAUGCCUAACACAAUGAUAAUCUCCAACAUGGCCAGACUAUGAGGAUACAAGUGGGAAAAGGGAGAGUCAGAGGUGUGUUCCAAGGACUUCCAGAACUGAGACCACAGCCUGGCUAACAGCCGUCCGUUCCUGGAAAUUCAUUUCAAGAUGUUCUCCUAAAAGUUUAAUGAUAGGCGGAUUAUCUGCCUUCUCAGAAAUCUGACGUGUUGGGUCUGGCUUCUUUAUGCGAAAGAAAAUAGGCCUCACUGCUUAAUAUUUAUUUUCUUGAGUGAUGUAAUAAAAUGAUAAAGUAAUAAAGUUGGCCAUCAUACUUGCUGGGUUCUACUUCUUCCAUACAAAAAAUCCUUACUGCAUCAUUUUUUGUUAUAAUACAAAAUACUGUAUCAUUUUGUAAUAUGU